CGGUUCGCAGCGUGUGGCUCGAUUCUAUAAACGAUUCCCAGACUUUAUCUAAAUAUUUGGCGAAAAAUCUCUUUGGGCCAAAAACUGUUGGCCAACAACAAUUAGAAAGCAAUCAAAAUUUAUGGCGUUUCACGCCGACAAAGCAGGCCAAGAGCUAAAAAAAAAAGGAGAAGAAGCAGCGAAAAAUACUUUUGGAAUGUCAAAAACAAAAGUCGCCAUAAAUCAAGUCGAGUAAAUGAAAUUUUCAAAUGGGACGCGUGAAAUUCAAGUCAGCACUUGACCAACAACAACAACAGUAAAAAACAACAACAAUUACACGGAUCUUAAGUAUUUGUUGCUGUUGCGGCAUCUACCACGACCAAAACCCAUUGCAUGUGUAAUAACUGUAAAAGAAAACUCAAGCACAACACACACACACACACCCAACACACACACACACACACACACACACACACACACGCACACACACACUAAUACACACGCCUCCGACUAAUGCGAGUUUAACAAUUUUGCGGUCGUGUGUAAGUCUUGUUAAGCCAAUUACAUGCGCUGCCUCAAACCCAGCGCCCAGUACCCAGCUUCAAGCAGUUGGCUAAGAGAGAGAGAGAGAGAGGGGCCAAGUUAAGCCCACUGAAAUGAGGCUGGGCCCUCGAGCGAUGCCAAGAAGUUGUCUUCUGGGAAAGCAAGAACAAACAGCAACAAACAGCGAGAACAAACAGCACAGACCGCAGAUGCAAACUUAGCAACAAUCCACACAAAAAUUCACUAAUGAGCCUUGCUUGACAACAUGUUACUCUGCAAAUUAAUCAAAUGUUUCAAAAUUCACAAAGCAGGCUAUAAUAAAAAUUUGUUUUU